AGCGAACGCUGGCGGCAGGCUUAACACAUGCAAGUCGAACGGGCACUUCGGUGCUAGUGGCAGACGGGUGAGUAACACGUGGGAACGUACCUUUCGGUUCGGAAUAAUUCAAGGAAACUUGGACUAAUACCGGAUACGCCCUUCGGGGGAAAGAUUUAUCGCCGAUAGAUCGGCCCGCGUCUGAUUAGCUAGUUGGGGAGGUAAUGGCUCACCAAGGCGACGAUCAGUAGCUGGUCUGAGAGGAUGAUCAGCCACAUUGGGACUGAGACACGGCCCAAACUCCUACGGGAGGCAGCAGUGGGGAAUAUUGGACAAUGGGCGCAAGCCUGAUCCAGCCAUGCCGCGUGAGUGAUGAAGGCCUUAGGGUUGUAAAGCUCUUUUGUCCGGGAAGAUAAUGACUGUACCGGAAGAAUAAGCCCCGGCUAACUUCGUGCCAGCCGCCGCCGUAACAC
rnacentral:rRNA from 1 species